AUGGCAUCCACACCGUCAAGCAACCCGGCGGCCAAGGUGCCGAGAAGCCAUCGCCGGCGCCGAGCUAAGCGCGCCCGCGUCGGUGACGGAUCACCCUCCGCGGCGGAGUCGACGGUGCACGUCCCCGCCGACCAAUCUUCUACUCCCUCCGUAAUUCCGAACGGAGGGAGUAGCUGGCGGGGCUGGGCGAGCCUGGGGUCGGGGCCGGCGUGGCUGAUCGCGGACCGCGUGCUCGCCCGCGACGUCGCCGACUACGUCCGCUUCCGCGCGUCCUGCAGCGCGUGGCGGCGGUGCACGGCGGACCCGCAGGGCGACGCCCUCGACCCGCGGCGCUGGACCAUGCUCCAGGACGUCGUCACCCGCGGCCUUCGCUACCGGUACAGCCGCUUCAAGAACGACGCCACCGGCGAGCACAUCCGGAUGACGAUCCGGGGGCUGAACGGCCGCGACGGCCGCACGCACCUCGCGCGCACGUCCCAGGGCCUCCUCGUCCUGCUCAACAAGAAGACCGACGCCGUGUUCGUGGUGAACCCGGUCACCGGCGCCCGCGCCGACCUGCCGCCGGUGACCACGCUGCUGUCCGGCUACCGCAGGAGCGUCGUCUUCCCGAGAUGGCCCAGGGAGCUCCGCCUCGGCGCGCAGCUGAGCGACGACUCGGCGGUGGUGAUCAACUUCGGCGGGCGCCGGCUGCUGGGCGUCGCGAGGCCCGGCGACGGGCAGUGGGCCAAGGCGGAGUGCGAGCACCGGACCCGCGGGCCAGUCUCGUCGUUCGCAGGCCGCGUCGCUACCAAAGAGAAUGUUUGGCUAUCUAGCUCCAGCUUCAAGAAUGAGAAAUUUGGUGGAAAGGAUCUAUUUGAUUAG
rnacentral:rRNA from 1 species